GACAGAGGGUGCAAACGUUGUUCGGAAUUACUGGGCGUAAAGCGCGUGUAGGCGGUUAUGCAAGUCGGGUGCGAAAGCCCUGGGCUCAACCCAGGAAGUGCACUCGAAACUGGCAGGCUAGAGUACUGGAGAGGUUGGUGGAAUUCUCGGUGUAGAGGUGAAAUUCGUAGAUAUCGAGAGGAACACCGGUGGCGAAGGCGGCCAACUGGACAGAUACUGACGCUGAGACACGAAAGCGUGGGGAGCAAACAGG
rnacentral:rRNA from 1 species